GGUUAAUCUGUGCUGAAUUUAUCCAGCAAGCUCUGGCAUCUGGAAAAAAUAGAACUUGUGCGAUCUGCAGUGGAACGGAAAGAAGCCAGUGGAAAUUGACCCAUGAACUUGAAUGGUUGCGAUCAGCUUACGGCUAAUAAGGCCUGGAAAUUGGGGGUAGCCCUGUGCCUGAGCGUAAUGGGACCCCAAGACCCUAACCCCUUACCUCCAGACAGGUGCUAUUCUGUAUCUGACUAAUACCUGACUUGCGCCUUUUCUGACCCUAUCUUACUUUAUGUUCAAUAAUGUUGGUGCUUCGUAAUGCUCAGAAGAGGCUAUAAUUUGAUUUGUUUGAUUUGUUUUUAGUUUGAAUACAACCAAUUUAUCAGGGUAUGAAGAACCGACAAAACCACUGAUGAUAGAUGUUUUGUUUUAUUGAACAUACAAGUUGUCAGAAAAUUUGCCUUGUCAUAGUUAUUGAGUUAUUAUAAAUUUGUUUUACAGCAUGCAAAACAGCCACCCUUGCGUCCCAUCAGUCUGAUACAUGAACAGCAAUAACCAUCUCCUUACUGCUCACAAGUGUAUCAUCAUCCUUUUGACCUGCAGUCAGUGAGUUUAAAAGCAAGAAGGUGGAAUCACCAACAAAGACUACUGAUAAGGUAGGUGUUAGCACGAUAAUGAGAUCAAUCCAAUCAAUCCUGAAUUUUCUUUCUUUUCUUUCACUGUACCCUAUUGAAAGUAAAUUUGAACACAGUUCUUUCUCUCCUUGUCUUCAUCAGGUGUCCACCAUCAAAUAUAAGACAUGUCAGCCAACUCCUCAUCUGCCUAUAACUUCUCUCUUGGUUCUGACCUCAGUAGCUGCUCUUCCUCCACACUCUUUAGUAAACCUCUCACUAUUUCCAUCAACACUGCCAGAGCCAUCCUCAUCCUUCCCCUCGCAGUCAUCAUCCUCCAUCUGGCUUGCCAAAGAUGGAAGAAGAGGGGUUCCUUGACGGAUGCGAGCAAUUGUGACAUCUUUACCUACCACCUGGCUGUCAUGGAGCUGCUGGGUAUUUUAGGGACAGUCUUCUCCCUUUGCAGCUCUGUUACAGGGUCCAAACAGAUGGAGAGAGUGGGGCUCACUUUUUUUGCCAUUCCGUACUCUGGAGUGACCUUCUUCCAUGUCCUGACCUGUAUGGAACGUUACAUGGCUGUCGUUCACCCCCACACCUACAUGGGGUUCAAGAAAGUCCAUAGGUUUAAGUUUAGAAGCAUCAUCAUCGGGUGUGUUUGGCUGCUGAGCUUAGCGUGGAUGUUGUCAGUAAUGCUUAGCUACCCUCUCCUACCAGCCACUCCAUUUUUGUGUAUCGUGAUCAUCUCUUUUGUCAUCAUUUCUUUCUGCAGCCUGUCCGUUCUCUGCGCUCUGAUUCGUCCGGGG